CAGGUUUUGAUUCAUUUACCUGCCGCAGAUACCAUCUGGCAUACAUUUGAAUAAGCCCAGGCUAUUUUCUUUGCAUAAUUUCGUGUCAGAUGCUGGGACCUAAAGACAGUAAGUAGAGCGUCUUGAGUUGGUGUCUCCAAGCGAGAUCCUGCAGGCAAGAUGGGUGCAGUUACCAUUGUGGGCCACCAGAUGGCAGAGGUGCACAGCACAGGCAAAAGAUGCCCUGAAGGUCUGGCUCCAGUGGCGGAAGAGCAGCCACUGAACAGAGGAAUACUGAUGGUGCUAAGGACACCGCCCAGAGAAGCAGCAGUUCCUCUUCCGGGGUCUGAAGGACGUGAUUCAGGGUAAGUCUGUUUCGACCCCUGAAGUAACCCACCUGGCUAAAAUCUAAGAGG
rnacentral:lncRNA from 1 species